GACGCAAUCAAGUGACCUUCUGUGCUGCGCAGGGAUGUUUUGGUGUUGGGAUUAAAGAAAUGUGUCACCAUCACCAGCCUCAAGACUUUUGAAGUAAAGCAUAUUGCAAGGGCAAACCCAUGGCCAGCCUGUGGAGAUCGUGUUGCCUGCGUGGCCCUGGGACACUGGGUCUCAUAAUGGCUGGGAUUACAGGCAUGUGUCCCAUCAUUGGUUUAUGCAGUACUAGGGAUAGAAUCCAGGGCUUCAAGCUUGCGGCGAGGCAAGUGCUCUACACAGCUGGGUCACAUCCACAGCCUCUGAGUGAAAGCCUGCUCCCUGGAUCCUGCUGGAAUUCAGGGAAUUCCUGUCCUGCUCACUGUGUGGAUGGAAAGAUGAUGGAAGGUCCUAUCCUAAGAACUGCAGUCAAUAUAGCAAGGGCUUUGACUGAAUAUUAUAGAAGCUGAGUUUUUCAAUGCUGGGUCUCACACUGGUAAAGACAACAUUCAUGAAUAUAAAGUUGGGGACCCUCAGAUCUGAUUCUACAAAAGCUCACCACUGGUGUUGUGACUUCAGACCAGUGGCUUGGUCCCUCUGAGCCCCAACAGUUUCCUUGUCCCUACCCUACUUGGCUUGGAAGUGGGCAGUGGUAAUAAAGGCUCACAGCACUGAA
ensembl:lincRNA Gm44082 predicted gene, 44082